CAGGGGGCAUACGUGUAUGAGCGUCAUUUC
rnacentral:rRNA from 1 species